rnacentral:lncRNA from 1 species
GCCCUCUGGCACAUCCUAAGAUGGCGGAGAUCCCUCUGUACUUUGUGGACUUGCAGGAUGACUUAGAGGACUGUCAGAAAACCCAGCCAGGAAGCGCUACUGGCCCUUCUGGAGCAAGGUCUCAUUUCCCAGUGUGACAUUGAAGGCUAAGUAUGUCCUGCUCUGCUGGAGCGGUCUGCUCCCAGCCGUGAUGAUGAAUGCAGGAAGGAGGCCAUGAGCGUAAUCUGCAGAAUGGCGGCCAUGCUGACCAUGCACAGUUGAACGCCUGCUGCUGCCUUGAACUGUGUGGUGCCUGGAAACUCUUCCAAGUUUGGAAGAUACCAACAUUUUUUGAGCUCUGCUCAGAUAACAUGAAGAAAGCAUGUUCAGAGUGCUUCACAGCUGUGUCCCACACUUCCCCCUGUGGUCUGCAGAACCCAGCUCUCAACUGUGUUCAUCAAACUCCUCAGUGAUCCCCAUCGAUAGGCUCAGGUAUUACCUGCCUGCCUGCCUGCCUGCCUGCCGCAUUGAGAGCGAGCAGCACAACCCUGCUCUGCUGGUGAACCCAAGAGCACGCAGACACACAGUCUGAAGGAAGAGCCUGUGUCAGAUCCCAGCCCAGCCUCUGACAAUCACAUCCUCCCGUCAGCUUCAUCAUCUCAGAAUGAGCUCUCCGCGGCCAGGAUAUUACAGAGCACAUGCACCAAUGAGGCGGUGCCUGCUUCCUGCUGUGAAGUGGGAUGAGCACACCUUGCGAGUCCAUGGUCUCCAGGACCCAGUGCACAUCCUCUGCUGGCGUGGCAGCCAAGUAUACACAGGUGAUGUGUUUAUACUGAGGGUCGCCUCAAGAUCUCCUGAUGAUGCCAAGGGCAGGCUUGAGCCCAGCCUCCUAGGCUGCUAGAGCGGAUGGUCCCCACGCUGACCCCUGUGCAUGGACUCUGCUCUCCAGACUCUCCUCUCUGGCAAGGCGUCGCUGGCUUUGGGGCAGCUGACUGCAGGUUACGGUCCCUCAGCCUCUGCUCCACUAGUUCAUUUCAUGACCCACCGAGAGCCCAGACUGUGGACACUGUCUUACCAAGCGCUGUGCGCAUAGCCUUCCUGGGCCUCCGCUGCCAGCACUAGCCCUGCCUGAAGGACACUUUGUGAAACGUUGGCUUCAGAUGUUCGGGAACUGGCAGUGAUUCGCGGGGAUCAGCUGACAGCAGCCGACCUGGUGCCUAUCUUCAGUGGCUUCUUGAAGGAUCUGGUCAAAGACAAGAGGAGAGUGCACCUCUGCCAGCUGCCGAGGUUGGUGGUGACUGACAGCAGCCCGAACUAGGGGUUUCCAUAUGGACUAGCAGAGUUACAGCUAGUCAUCUCACAAAUAAUUGUCUUCCUGAAGAAAUCCAUCAGGCUUUUGCAGCUACGUAGGAUAUGAUUUGGCCGGUGCCGGGGGCAAACUGGAAGAUUUUCUCUUUGCUGUGAGCUUUAAUCAUUAUCCUUAAUUUGAGAGGUUGAAGUUUAGUCAUUAUGUCAUGUUCGCAGCACACUCCUGCAAAAAGAACUGAGAAAAACAAGCCUGUGCCCGGCGCGGCGACCCUGCGCCCCCUGGCGGCGGGUGCUGGGCGAGCCCCCGGCGUCCCGGGCCCUAUCUCCCAUCGCUUGGCUUAUUGCAGUGGCCGGUUGCGAUAACGGCUGCGCCCGGCGCGAUAUUGGCCUCAUUUUCCCCCCGCAGACGGCGGGAGCGAUAUGAAGCCGUUCGCCGCGGCCCGCUUCCUCCCCGCCCUUUUUCAUUUCCUCUGCCCGCGUGCAAAUCACACCACUCUCUCUCACCCGAGCCGAGCAGGGCCGCAGCAAGCGAGACAGAAAGAAUGAGGGGGAAACACCUAGCGAAAAACCGAAGGGAAAAAAAAGAGCGAGGGAAAAGACCUAGCGAGAAAAAGAGAGGGGGUUAAAAGACCUGCCGAGAAAGGGCGAGAGGGAAAGACCUAGCGAAAACCCGAGGGGAAAAAAGAAUGAGGGAAAAGACCUAGCGAGGAAAAGCGACGGGUAGAUGUAGCGAAAAACCGAGGGGGGAAAAGAGCGAGGAAAAAGAUCUAGCGAGGAACGGCGAGGAGGAAAGACCUAGGGAGAAAGAGCGAGGGGAAAAAAAAAACCUAACGAGGAGGAGCGAGAGGAAAAGACCUGCCGAGAAAGAGCGAGGAAAGAAAACCUAGCGAGCAGGAGCGAAGGAAAAAGACCUGCGGGAAAAGAUCAAAGCGGGAAAAAUUAGCGAGCAGGAGCGAGGGAAAAAGACCUGCCGAGAAAGAUCGAGGGAGAAAAACAAAAAAAACAAAAAACAGCGAGCAGAAGCGAGGAGGAAAAACCUGCCGAGAAAGAUCGAGAGGAAAAAAACAAAACAACACAAACCUAGCGAGCAGGAGCGAGGAGGAAAAACCUGCGGAGAAGGAGCGAGGGGAAAAGGGCGGCCGAGUCAGACGGCUAAGUGGGGAAAGCGCGCGAGGAAGUGGUGUGAAAAAAGGAUAAAGAUUGAGAAAGAGCGGGCGAAAAAGCUAGGGGAAAGCGGUCUAGAAAGAAGAACCACGGGGCAAGAGCGAUGUUGAAAAUGAAGGAAGGAGUGAGAA